AGAGAACCUGAGCCAAGAUCCUUUCAGAUUCAAAGGAUACUACAUUUUGAGAAGAUUACUCUUAAUCCAAAAUUAGAAAGCAGCCUUUCAAGGAACGGCAUUCUGUAUCCACGUGUCAAAGAACCAGCCCUGUGGAACAGCUGGUUUUUAAAGUUUAUUGAUUACUAAUAACGAGGCAGCAUCCAGGAAAAUGUGUGCACUGGGAUAACUUGGCUCUUUCCGACAAUCUGUGAGUGGUUCUCUGGAGCAGGAGGGCAGAUUUGCUUUGGUCAGAGUCAGCCUUCAACUUUAAUGCCAUCCCUACUUCAUCUUAUGUCCUAAAGAAAGUCUCGAGCAAACAUCACUACCGAUGUCUGAGGAUACUUGAUCCUCUGCUUGAAAAUAGGGAUGCUAACACUUGCUCCAAACAAAUUCCUAAGGAUGGGGACAGGACAAUCUUUGUCAAACAAGAUGAAUUUGACUGGUCAGUAAGGCAAAAUGCUUAGGAGCUCAGGCCGAGUCAGAGACAUCUGGGUUUAAAGCUUUGUUCUGCCACCUACUGGCUGUGACAUCAUCAUCUCACGGAGC
rnacentral:lncRNA from 1 species